rnacentral:rRNA from 1 species
CCAAUAGCGUAUAUUAAAGUUGUUGCAGUUAAAAAGCUCGUAGUUGAAUUUCGGGAUCAAAUUGUCGGUCGUGCCUCGGUACGUACUGGUAUUAUUGGUUCCUCCCUUCUGACGAACCACGAUGUCAUUAAUUUGGUGUCAUGGGAAAUCAGGACGGUUACUUUGAAAAAAUUAGAGUGUUUAAAGCAGGCUCGCGCUUGAAUACAUUAGCAUGGAAUAAUGAAAUAGGACGUUUGAUUCUAUUUUGUUGGUUUCUAGGAUCGACGUAAUGAUUAAUAGGGAUAGUUGGGGGCAUUAGUAUUCAAUUGUCAGAGGUGAAAUUCUUGGAUUUAUUGAAGACUAACUACUGCGAAAGCAUUUGCCAAGGAUGUUUUCAUUAAUCAAGAACGAAAGUUAGGGGAUCGAAGACGAUCAGAUACCGUCGUAGUCUUAACCAUAAACUAUGCCGACUAGGGAUCGGAUGAUGUUAAUUUUUUAAUGACUCAUUCGGCGCCUUACG